rnacentral:misc_RNA from 1 species
GUGUAGAGAUACAUAAAGAGUAUAGAGAAAUCAGAGGAAAAUGAACCUCUUAUCUUUCUUACCUAGGCCUGUUUACAGAAGAAAGUGAUGAGAGAAUAUUUCAUAAUAUAUUCCUUACCAUAUUCUUUAAGUAAGGAUACAUUCUUUAAAUAGGGGAAUAUUCUUUUGGCUAUUUAUUUAAUAUUGUAUUAAAAGGACUAGUGCCCUACCAAUCUCACAGUGGGAACCUAUGUAACCAUGAUUUUGUGUAGUGUUUGUCCUCACUUCUGGGUUUAUCACAGGUGUGGCGCUGCUUUCUGUUA